rnacentral:rRNA from 1 species
CCUACGGGAGGCAGCAGUGGGGAAUAUUGCACAAUGGGGGAAACCCUGAUGCAGCGACGCCGCGUGAGUGAAGAAGUACUUCGUUAUGUAAAGCUCUGUCAGCAGGGAAGAAAAUGCAGGUUCGUGAGUAAGAAUCCCCGGCCAACUACGUGCCAGCAGCCGCGGUAAUACUUCGGUGGCCAGCGUUAUCCGGAUUUACUGUGGGUAAAGGGAGCGUAGACGGGUGUGCAAGUCUGGAGUGAAAGGCGGGGGCUCAACCCGCGGACUGCUCUGGAUACUGUACGGCUGGAGUGCAGGAGAGGUAAGUGGAAUUCCUUGUGUAGCGGUGAAAUGCGUAGAUAUAAGGAGGAACACCAGUGGCGAAGGCGGCUUACUGGACUGUAACUGACGUUGAGGCUCGAAAGCGUGGGGAGCAAACAGGAUUAGAUACCCUAGUAGUC